UACCUUUGCCCCCGAUUUUAAAAUACAUAAUAAUCAUUAAAUAAUAUUGGAAUG
rnacentral:ncRNA from 1 species